rnacentral:rRNA from 1 species
UACGGAGGGUGCAAGCGUUGUUCGGAAUCACUGGGCGUAAAGCGCGUGUAGGCGGCAUCCUAAGUCUGAUGUGAAAGCCCGGGGCUUACCCUCGGAAGUGCAUCGGAUACUGGGAAGCUAGAGUACCGGAGAGGAGGGUGGAAUUCCUGGUGUAGCGGUGAAAUGCGUAGAUAUCAGGAGGAACACCGGUGGCGAAGGCGGCCCUCUGGACGGAUACUGACGCUGAGACGCGAAAGCGUGGGGAGCAAACAGG